rnacentral:rRNA from 1 species
CCCGCUGAACUUAAGCAUAUCAAUAAGCGGAGGAAAAGAAACUAACAAGGAUUCCUUUAGUAGCGGCGAGCGAACAAGGAUUAGCCCAGCACCGAAUCCUAUGGCUCACGUCAUUAGGAAAUGUGGUGUUUGGAUCAAGUCUUACGGCAUAUUGGAGUUGUUCUAAGUCCACGUGAUUGUGGCAUUGAGUCCACAGAGGGUGUAAGACCCGUAUGAACAAUACAGUAUGUCCAGGAUUUGCUCCUAGAGUCGGGUUGUUUGGGAAUGCAGCCCAAAUCGGGUGGUAAACUCCAUCCAAGGCUAAAUACAACACGAGUCCGAUAGCGAACAAGUACCAUGAGGGAAAGUUGAAAAGAACUUUGAAGAGAGAGUUCAAUAGUGCGUGAAACCACUCAAAGGUAAUCGGGCAGAGCUGAAAGAAGAAUUGCACAUUUGUAUUUUGCCUUGUGAAUUGUUAGUCCUGGAGACAUUUACGUGCUUCAAGCUGGCAUAUGCGGCAAGGCGUUGUGCUAUUGUGUAAUUCUGACACCAUGAUCGGUUACAAAGUAGGCCUGUUGGUUGGUAAGCUAGCCAAUUUCUUAAAUUGGUGUUAUAGACCUGCCUAGCAGUGCUUCACUGAAAACCGAACUGCGAUGCAAGCCAUUGUGGCGAACAUGACUUUCUGUGGUGCGAAGAAGAGUUGUUGACUCAUUAUAGAGUUGGCUCCUCUCGCGGAGUAUUAUGGUUUGUCCUCUGUUCGUUGCAUCAAUAAUCUAUGGUGCAAUUGUAAGUAUCCUGCCCGACCCGUCUUGAAACACGGACCAAGGAGUUUAACAUGCGCGCGAGUCAUUGGGAAUUACGAAGCCUAAAGGCGCAGUGAAAGUAAAGGCUUAACUUGUUUGAGCUAAGGUGGGAUCUUGGCUUUCAAUGUGUGGCAACAUACAUGGGCUAUGCGCACUACCAGCUCGUCCCAUGCUUUAUAAAGUGGGGCGACGCAAGAGCGCAGAUGUUGAGACCCGAAAGAUGGUGAACUAUUCUUGUGCAGGUUGAAGCCAGAGGAAACUCUGGUGGAGGACCGUAGCGAUUCUGACGUGCAAAUCGAUCGUCAAACAUGAGUAUAGGGGCGAAAGACUAAUCGAACCUUCUAGUAGCUGGUUCCUUCCGAAGUUUCCCUCAGGAUAGCUGGUACUCGGGAAACAAACAGUUUUAUCCGGUAAAGCGAAUGAUUAGCAGUAUUGUGGGAUAACAUAUCCUCAAAUGAUUCUCAAACUUUAAAUGGGUGAGAUGCUCAACUCUCUUGAAUCAUGGAGUUGGGCUUUCGAAUGUGAGUGCCUAGUGGGCCAUUUUUGGUAAGCAGAACUGGCGCUGUGGGAUGAACCAAACGUCUGGUUACGGAGCCAAACAUAACGCUCAUGAGAAACCACAAAAGGUGUUGGUUGAUUUUGACAGCAGGACGGUGGCCAUGGAAGUCGGAAUCCGCUAAGGAGUGUGUAACAACUCACCUGCCGAAUCAACCAGCCCUGAAAAUGGAUGGCGCUUGAGCGUUGGUCCUAUACCAGACCGUUACCGUGAUGUUAAAAGGAGACGGUAACGAGUAGGAAGGCGCCGUAAUGAGCGUGGAAGCCUAGGCCGUAAGGCUGGGUGGAGCCAUUACGGGUGCAGAUCUUGGUGGCAGUAGCAAAUAUUCAAGUGAGAACCUUGAAGACUGAAGUGG